rnacentral:rRNA from 1 species
CCCUUAGAUGUUCUGGGCCGCACGCGCGCUACACUGACGAAUGCAACGAGCUUAUAACCUUGGCCGAAAGGUCUGGGUAAUCUCCAAAUUUCGUCGUGAUGGGGAUAGAUUAUUGCAAUUAUUAAUCUUCAACGAGGAAUGCCUAGUAAGCGCAAGUCAUCAGCUUGCGUUGAUUACGUCCCUGCCCUUUGUACACACCGCCCGUCGCUCCUACCGAUUGAAUGAUCCGGUGAGGCCCCCGGAUUGUGGCAAUGGCUCUGGUUCGCCAGACCAAUGCUGCGAGAAGCUGUCCAAACCUUAUCAUUUAGAGGAAGGAGAAGUCGUAACA